CCGUGCUAGAUGGGGAGCUAGCGGUGCCCUGUACCCGCAAUCCGCUUAGCGGGGUCGAAUUCCCACUCGAGGUGGCAUGUUUUGGGGUCUGACCGUCGCGGGCGGCGAUG
rnacentral:SRP_RNA from 1 species